rnacentral:rRNA from 1 species
GGGACACGUGAAACCCUGUGGGAAGCAGGAGGGACCACCCUCCAAGGCUAAAUACUACCUAGUGACCGAUAGCGUAUAGUACCGUGAGGGAAAGGUGAAAAGAACCCCGGGAGGGGAGUGAAAUAGAACCUGAAACCCUGCACUUACAAGCUGUGGAAGCACAUUUCUUGUGUGACCGCGUACUUUUUGUAGAACGGGCCAACGAGUUACGUUAAGUAG